rnacentral:rRNA from 1 species
AUUGAACGCUGGCGGCAGGCUUAACACAUGCAAGUCGAACGAGUGGCGGACGGGUGAGUAAUGCUUGGGAAUCUAGCUUAUGGAGGGGGAUAACUACUGGAAACGGUAGCUAAUACCGCAUACCAUCGGAUGUGCCCAGAUGGGAUUAGCUAGUGGGUGGGGUAACGGCUCACCUAGGCGACGAUCCCUAGCCGGGCUUAGAGGAUGAACGGCCACACUGGAACUGAGACACUGUCCAGACUCCUACGGGAGGCAGCAGUGGGGAAUAUUGCACAAUGGGCGCAAGCCUGAUGCAGCCAUGCCGCGUGUAUGAAGAAGGCCUUCGGGUUGUAAAGUACUUUCAGCGAGGAGGCGUUACUCGCAGAAGAAGCACCGGCUAACUCCGUGCCAGCAGCCGCGGUAAUUC